rnacentral:lncRNA from 1 species
AUGUGAUCUGGGUUCUGAUAUUAUCUCUGCGCUCUGCAGUGUGCCAUGGGCACAUGAGGAAUGUCAGAAGUCAUAACCAUGCCUGAUGACAACAGUUUCCUUUGGCCUGGUGUGGUAUUGUAAAUUGUCGCUUUUAGACCAACUUUUUAGUGAUAGACCCUCUCUAUGCUUUUUGUUGUAAGCUACUGCAGAUUCUUGCCACAGGUAUGAAGUAAAUUCUGUUAAUAGCCUUGAUUUUUCACCUGUGCCACCAUAUAUAUCUUUGCCAUGGCCUCAUGAUGGAUGGAAUAUACUUCCCUGCCCCUUGACUUGAUACUUGACCAUGUAACUUUUUUGGAACAAUGAAAGAUGAUGGAAAUGUCAGUAUACCUGUGCUCAGGUAUACUGUGCUAGGUCUUAAGAAGCCUCCAGUGUUUCCAGCUAUACAUCUGCAAUCACCAUGAGAAGGACCUGCUCAAGCAAACCACUAGUCACAGGAGGAGAAUGAGAGACACAUGGAGCAGAGCUGCCCUCAGAGUCCACCUAGAUUAGUUGUCAGCAGACCUCCAGUGGACUUGUAGAAACACAAGCAAUAAUAAAAGGCUGUUGUUU